CUUGAAACCAUUUUCAAGGAGUUUACGUCCUUCCUUAGAGUCAUUGUACUAAAUUUCAGCAAGGGGUCGGUCAUUACCACAUCGGAACUCGUUUUCAACUCUACAGAGGAUAUCCCAUCAGAAGGCCAAAUAGCAGAAGCAUUACUGAGUGACACAGACACUAUCAGUGACCUGAACAUAACUUCUUUCUCAGUUAAUAAUACAGAUUAUUCAUCAGCAACAACAACUCCUGCUGCAACAUCUACAGCAACAACAGAGCCUUCCACAAUCACGAC